CCUACGGGGGGCAGCAGUGAGGAAUAUUGGUCAAUGGGAGAGAUCCUGAACCAGCCAAGCCGCGUGAGGGAAGACGGCCCUAUGGGUUGCAAACCUCUUUUGUCGGAGAACAAAACCCGGGACGUGUCCCGGACUGCGUGUAUCCGAAGAAAAAGCAUCGGCUAACUCCGUGCCAGCAGCCGCGGUAAUACGGAGGCUGCGAGCGUUAUCCGGAUUUACUGGGUGUAAAGGGCGUGUAGGCGGGCAUGCAAGCCAGAAGUGAAAUCUGGGGGCUUAACCCCCAAACUGCUGUUGGAACUGCGUGUCUUGAGUGAUGGAGAGGCAGGCGGAAUGCCUGGUGUAGCGGUGAAAUGCAUAGAUAUUGGGAAGAACACCAGUGGCGAAGGCAGCCUGCUGGACAUUAACUGACGCUGAGGCGCGAAAGCGUGGGGAGCGAACAGGAUUAGAUACCCGAGUAGUC
rnacentral:rRNA from 1 species